UCAAUUACGUAGUGUUUCUGUUACUAUUCCAUUGUUUUCUACUCCAUUGUUUUCCAUUGAUAUUUAUCAGAUAUGUGUAAACAAUGCGUUCUUAUAUAGUAAAAGUUCUAUAGCGAAAUUUAUAUCGCUCGUUUGUUGUCGACCAUCUAUUUAAGUAUUUGUGUUAUCAAUUGCUUGUAUUACAUUUCUGAGACUGAAUUGGAUUAUUAUUGAUUGAUUACGAAGAUGACUCCGAAAGGGGAGAUACGUAUAAAUGUGACAAGCAACGAUGACAGUUCGACAUUUAAUGCGAAACAUUUGGUGAACGUUCGCAGGACGCGUGCGCGUCGACCUAUCACUUUGGUCGUGCGGUGCUUAAGCUUUCGUUGUCAGUAGUGGUGCGGCGGCCACAGUGAGGGCUGGUUCUUUUCGUUGUAUCCCGGACAACAAUACCGAAUACUUGCGUUUAUGAUAAAACGCGUGAGAGAACAUCUACUUUGGAAUAAUAGCAAAUUUUCGCCGAUGCAGAGAUUUUGUUUCAUCGCAGUUGCUGACAGGAAUACGCAAAAGACAUAAAAUCUGAGUAACGCAGUACAGCAACGUAUGGGGAGCAAAUUGCAAACG
rnacentral:misc_RNA from 1 species